rnacentral:rRNA from 1 species
UACGUAGGGGGCAAGCGUUGUCCGGAAUCAUUGGGCGUAAAGAGCGUGUAGGCGGCCCCGAUAAGUCCGCCGUAAAAGUCCAGGGCUCAACCCUGGAAUGCCGGUGGAAACUGUCGGGCCGGAGUCCGGAAGAGGCGAGUGGAAUUCCUGGUGUAGCGGUGAAAUGCGCAGAUAUCAGGAGGAACACCAAUUGCGAAGGCAGCUCGCUGGGACGUUACUGACGCUGAGACGCGAAAGCGUGGGGAGCAAACAGG